rnacentral:rRNA from 1 species
UACGUAGGGGGCAAGCGUUGUCCGGAUUUAUUGGGCGUAAAGAGCGUGUAGGCGGCUAAGUAAGUCUGCUGUGAAAACUCGAGGCUUAACCUCGAGCUGUCGGCGGAAACUAUUUGGCUAGAGUCCGGAAGAGGAGAAUGGAAUUCCCGGUGUAGCGGUGAAAUGCGCAGAUAUCGGGAAGAACACCCGUGGCGAAGGCGGUUCUCUGGGACGGUACUGACGCUGAGACGCGAAAGCGUGGGGAGCGAACAGG